GCGCACGCUGGCGGCAGGCUUUACACAUGCCAGUCGAGCGGGCAUCCUUGUGGUGUCAGCGGCAGACGGGUGAGUAACGCGUGGGAACGUGCCCUUCGGUUCGGAAUAACUCAGGGAAACUUGAGCUAAUACCGGAUACGCCCUUCUGGGGAAAGGCUUGCUGCCGAAGGAUCGGCCCGCGUCUGAUUAGCUGGUUGGUGAGGUUACGGCUCACCAAGGCGACGAUCAGUAGCUGGUCUGAGAGGAUGAUCAGCCACACUGGGACUGAGACACGGCCCAGACUCCUACGGGAGGCAGCAGUGGGGAAUAUUGGACAAUGGGGGCAACCCUGAUCCAGCCAUGCCGCGUGAGUGAUGACGGCCUUAGGGUUGUAAAGCUCUUUUCUCCGGGACGAUAAUGACGGUACCGGAGGAAUAAGCCCCGGCUAACUUCGUG
rnacentral:rRNA from 1 species